rnacentral:rRNA from 1 species
CCCUUAGAUGUUCUGGGCCGCACGCGUGCUACACUGAGUAAUUCAAUGGGUAAGGGAACGCUAGAGCAUUACCUAAUCUUGAAAUUUGCUCGUGAUGGGGAUCGACGGUUGCAAUUUUCCGUCGUGAACGAGGAAUACCUUGUAGGCGCAUGUCAUCAUCAUGCGCCGAAUACGUCCCUGCCCUUUGUACACACCGCCCGUCGCUCCUACCGAUUGAGUGAUCCGGUGAGGCUCUGGGACCUGGACGGAAAGAGCGUUUCGCUUGUUCUGUUUGGGAAACUUGGUCGAACCUUAUCAUUUAGAGGUAGGAGAAGUCGUAACA